AGGGGUUUAGCUCACUGGGAGAGCACAUGCUUUGCAUGUAUGAAGUCUUGGGUUCAAUCCCCAGCAUCUCCA